rnacentral:lncRNA from 1 species
GUGGUUUGGCCUUUUCCUCACAAGCAGAUUAACAGUUCUGGGUAGAUGAGAUCUGCUUCAUCAGGGAAAGCGUCAGCGUCCUUUUUCAGGUCCGAGUGAUAAAGGAGGAAAGGGAAAUAGCUUGGCAGAUGGAAAAAGGCUGUUCCAGAUGUGUCAGAGAUUGCCUUUGCAUGUUUCUGGAAGCAGAAGACUGAUAAUCCUGGCCGGGCCUCAUCGGUCGUCCCCAGGAAGUGCUGAGUCACCACCUCCGCGCACUUCUCUCUUAUCUGGCUCAUCCACUGGUAGAUCUGCAGCAGCCGGAGGACUGAGGCUAUCAAUGAGAAGACCGUUUGCUGCCUCGAAUUAAGAUGACUGCUUCUUUCAUGAACAUACUGAACUCCAAACUCUGCUCUAGGUUGCAACAGCUGUGUGCUAAACAAACCAGAAGAGUAAACCAAAGAAUUAUUACCCACCUCCUCCCAUUUUCAUUAGAGAUCUACCCUGUCACCCAGUCUCAGGACACUGUCGAACUUUACAAAUAAGUUAUUGCAAAUUAACAAUUUCGAUAGUCCACUGAUAACACUUCGGAAACACUGUAUAACAACACAUCCUUCAGAUGGCGCCAACUUCCAGGCUGCCAGGUGGUGCUCCAUCGCGCCGGAAGCUUCAGGUCAGCCUUCUUUUGUGGGAGCUUCUUCAGUCUUUGUGGAUGACAACAAUUUCCUUUGCUGAUGUCUGUGGAUCCAAAAUUGGAGAAGACCUGGGGAUGCCCUUCACAGAACACAAAAGAAGUUUCUAAAUCAAGCCAAGUUAAUCAUUUUGGUCCGCCUGAGUAGACCUGAGUAGAUGCUGAUUUAAUUACAAGCCGUACACCAUGCUAGAAAGGAAGGGCCUGAGACCUUCUCCCGUAAGUCAACACCUUGGGGCUCUAUAAGGGAGAGUGAACAAGGAAUUCACAAAGAUAGGGCAUAUUAAGACAGUCGUCGGCAUGUGAUAUGACACUGCCGCACUCAAUUUCUAGAGUUGAAAUAUCUGACUGACAAGAAUAAUGGUAAAUAAUAAUAGUUAAUUUGCGAUAACAAAUAUUCUAUUUGAAAAUAUUCGUAUCUCAAUUGACAUUCAUCUUGUCAUAGAACCUCCACAGAUAAAAGGCAUGAUUAUAACUAACAGUGCUUAAGUGGGGAGGAGACUGAGAAGUUGUCCCCCGGGGCCCGUGUGCGAUUCUUGAUGGCACUGGGCAGGGUGCAGACGCCUCACAUCCUGGGGAGCUGCACACAGCAGCGAGGGGCAGCAGCAGCAGCAAUGUUUAUCUGCUGUUCAGUGAGCUGUCGUGUGGUUUAUCUCACUUACCCCCGAGACAAAGCUGCGAGAAGGCUACUGCUCUCCCUGCUUCACAUCUGAGGAAACUGAGGCCCGAGGAGGACAAAUGUCUUGGUCAAAGUCACAGAGCAAGUGGCCAAGCCAAGUGUGACCUGUCUCUGAUAGCAGGGCAGUAGUUUUCCAUGGGCCUUACUGGACCUUGUGCAAAAUCGUAGAAUUUUCAGUGCUUUUGAGUGAUU